rnacentral:rRNA from 1 species
AUUGAACGCUGGCGGCAGGCCUAACACAUGCAAGUCGAGCAGAUGAAGGGAGCUUGCUCUCUGAUUCAGCGGCGGACGGGUGAGUGAUGCCUAGGAAUCUGCCCGGUAAUGGGGGAUAACGUUCCGAAAGGAACGCUAAUACCGCAUACGUCCUACGGGAGAAAGCGGGGGAUCUUCGGACCUCGCGUUAUCGGAUGAGCCUAGGUCGGAUUAGCUAGUUGGUGGGGUUAAGGCCUACCAAGGCGACGAUCCGUAACUGGUCUGAGAGGAUGAUCAGUCACACUGGAACUGAGACACGGUCCAGACUCCUACGGGAGGCAGCAGUGGGGAAUAUUGGACAAUGGGCGAAAGCCUGAUCCAGCCAUGCCGCGUGUGUGAAGAAGGUCUUCGGAUUGUAAAGCACUUUAAGUUGGGAGGAAGGGCAGUAAGUUAAUACCUUGCUGUUUUGACGUUACCAACAGAAUAAGCACCGGCUAACUUCGUGCCAGCCGCCGCGGUAAGAC